rnacentral:rRNA from 1 species
UACAUAAGGGGCGAGCGUUAUCCGGAAUUAUUGGGCGUAAAGGGUGCGUAGGCGGUUUAAUAAGUCUAUAGUUUAAUUUCAGUGCUUAACGCUGUUGUGCUAUAGAAACUGUUUUACUAGAGUGAGUUAGAGGCAAGCGGAAUUCCAUGUGUAGCGGUAAAAUGCGUAAAUAUAUGGAGGAACACCAGAGGCGUAGGCGGCUUGCUGGGACUUUACUGACGCUGAGGCACGAAAGCGUGGGGAGCAAACAGG